rnacentral:lncRNA from 1 species
ACGUUUUAGUGUUGAAUGCCUUUAAAUGCCUGUAAACUGGAUGUUUAACUGUUUUACAGGGUGAAGUUGGUGAUCAGGGUUACCCAGGACCACAGGGACCCCCAGGGCCAAAGGGUGAGCAGGGAGAGCCAGGUCCUCAGGGUGACCGAGGAACCGAUGGUCUGCCAGGCUUGAAGGGAGAUGUUGGAGAACAAGGGCCCCAGGGUGAACCGGGCCGCCCUGGUGAAAAAGGCACAUCAGGAUCCGGUGAUAUCAUUGACUUCAAUGGCAAACUCUUAGAUGCCUUUCAGGGACCACCUGGCCCUCCUGGACCCCCGGGACCACCCGGAAAAGAAGGUUCAAAGGUGAAUAUCGAAAUCUGCUGAACUCCUAAUGAGUGGCUCAGAGUGUGUUGUUUCCAUGAUU